rnacentral:rRNA from 1 species
UACGUAGGGGGCAAGCGUUGUCCGGAUUUAUUGGGCGUAAAGAGCGUGUAGGCGGUUCGGUAGGUCCGUUGUGAAAACUCGAGGCUCAACCUCGAGACGUCGGUUGAAACCGUUUGGCUAGAGUCCGGAAGAGGAGAGUGGAAUUCCCGGUGUAGCGGUGAAAUGCGCAGAUAUCGGGAAGAACACCCGUGGCGAAGGCGGCUCUCUGGGACGGUACUGACGCUGAGACGCGAAAGCGUGGGGAGCGAACAGG